UACAGAGGGUGCAAGCGUUAAUCGGAUUUACUGGGCGUAAAGCGUGCGUAGGCGGUUCGCUAAGUCGGUUGUGAAAUCCCUGGGCUUAACCUGGGAACUGCAGUCGAUACUGGCGGACUAGAGUACGGUAGAGGGUGGCGGAACUCCGGGUGUAGCGGUGAAAUGCGAAGAUAUCCGGAAGAACACCGAUGGCGAAGGCAACCACCUGGGCCUGUACUGACGCUGAGGUACGAAAGCGUGGGGAGCAAACAGG
rnacentral:rRNA from 1 species